AACGCCCAAGCCAUAGUUCCAAUU
rnacentral:misc_RNA from 1 species